CCAAGCCGAGCCUACGUGACGCUAACGUGGCGACCCAUCCCCUUGGGGACGAGGCUCUCCAUACCCUUUAGCCUUACUAAACCCCUUGUGGCUUUUUAUGUAUUGUCCCACAUGUGGUUGCCACCACAUAAUAUAUAUAAUCAUAUAUAGAGAGAGAGAAAAGUGAAUAUGGUGAUGUCACGCACUAAAGUUUAGAUGUGAAACCUUUUAAAUCAUGUCUUUUUGAGUAAAUAGUUGUGAUGUUAUGCAUAGCGUUUAAAGGGUUAACUAAAACACAGUUAAUUGUUAAUCCUUUGUUAGUAAAAUUUCAUUUCCGUCUCUGAGGUUUGGCCAUUUUUGCGACUAUUGUCCAAAUGUUUGUUUUUCACAUUUGCAUCCAAAAGGUUUGAAAACUUGUCAUUUCAUCCGGCUCGUCAACUCCAUCCAUUUUUCUCCAUUAAGUCAGGGGUAUUUUCAUUUUUUGCGACUUAAUGGACAAUUCGAUCUUUUAGAUACUUGUACAUUAUGCUA
rnacentral:lncRNA from 1 species